GACAGGUGUGGUGGUGCACACCUGUAAUCCCAGCUACUUGGGAGACUGAGGCAGGAGAAUUGGAAGUUUGAGGCCAGACUGGGCAAUUUAGUGAGAUCUUGUUUCAA
rnacentral:sRNA from 1 species